AUGGGGGAGAAGGUACUAGCGAAAGUGCACAGGAGGGCGAGGAAGGGGGCGGACUCACAGUGCCGGCCCUUCCAGAAACAGGUUGCUGUCAGACAGCAGUGCGAGUCAGCGCACACAGAGACACAGUAUGCACUAGAGACUCCAGGAGUGCUGCUGCUCACCACGGACAUGGACCUACUCAAGGGCUUGGGAGUUCUGCUGGUACUGCUCCUCGGCUCAGCCCACUGCUGGGACGACCUAGAGCCGGUUCUUAAGGCUGUGGGGGACUCCAUGGAGAUGGGUUUCUGCUUCGGAGUGGACUACAUUGUGGGCUACAAGCUGACGGGUGAGGAGCGGGAACUGAUGGGGAAUUCCUCCAGUGAAUCGCCCAAGGGAUUUGACGGGCGUGUGAAAGUUACGUAUCACAUUGCAUCCCUCCUGGGUUUGGAGAUUAGCAACCUGACAUCUGCUGACACCGGGGUCUACUUGAGGGAGUGUUGGCAGGACCAUGAGCUGAUAAACCAGCAGAAGCACUACCUGUAUGUUUGUGGGGAAAAGGCUGCCUCUCAAGAUAUCGUUGUGUCCCCAGAAGGAGGGGCAGAUUUUACUUGCAACACUCCCAGCACCGGACUGCCAGAGUCCAGUAUAAGGUGGUACCGUGAAGUUUACCCCAAAUACAAGACAACUCUGUUCCUGGACACACAGCUGUCACAGACACCUAUCCAGCCUGAGCUGCAAGGCGAGAUUCAGGUGAGAGGCGGGGGAGUCGGCCUCCACAUCCCCACCUCCGUCAUGAAGAAGAGCCGCAACUUCCACUGCCUGGUGCUGCGAGAGGGGCAGUGCCUGGCCUACCAGGAUAUAGAGUUCCCUGAGAGCGAGGAGCCAGACGUGAAGACCAUCUUCCGCUCGGCAGGAGAUAGAGUGCUGUUACCCUGCCCCAUGAAGCACCCCGACCAGAAGACAAGAUUCUGGGAGACGCCGUUGGGUCAGGUGGAGUCCAACACCACCACAGAGGACCAUCACCUGAGUGUACUGAAAGGUAAGGUGUCAGGAGAAUACUCCCUGCUCAUACCACAUCUCAGUGAGGACCACGCAGGGGAUUAUAAAUGCUUUGCUCCACUGCUGGUGGCAGAUUACGCUGUGACUGUUUGCCCAAAGCAUGAUUCAACGGAACUGAAGUUUUCUGAUGGAGAUGAAGUGGAUCUGAAAUGUCUGCCGGAGGAUGGGGCAUUUCAGCAUCCAGUGGUAUCGACAGCAUGGGCCUGA
rnacentral:lncRNA from 1 species